CUGGCCUGGCCUGGCCCGGCCUGGCCUGCCCUCACUGAGACAUGGAGGACGUUCAUCAGUGCCUUUGCAGUUUGUCUGGUCCAUAAGGCUGAGACAGAGCUGGGCAGAGGGCAUGGCAGGAAGAAGUUACCUCUGGAAAGUCCUCAGCCACUGAGCAUCUAUUGUCACCAAAGAUACAUUCUGAUGAUUACUAGUACACCAUGUGUGAUCCUUGCCACUGAUGUGGAUAUGGUUUUGUUGGUCACUCCUAAUCGCUCAGAAUCCUUCUGUUUUCCCACGUGCCAAUGAAGACAAUGUCUAAUGUGACUGAAAGAAACAUUCAAGAGGAGUUUGGAACAUGUAUAUUCACAGGCGUUAAAAGGAGGUCUUGAAACUGCACUUAAAAGGCUGUCUAAAAUCAAAUGUUGCUGUUAAGAGAACACAAUUUCAGUGAUUUUUGUCUUAAAUCUUUGCCUGUACCACCUGUCAGGCUCAAUUCUACAAAUCCUUAUUUCUGCACAUGGUUCUAGUAAGUAAAAGAGUUCAUUUCCAAGUGUAGUUACAGGUUUAACCGGAAAGGCAAGGGUCGGUUUCCCACUCUCGUGGCCAAGGCAGAAGCUCAGCGAAGCACCGCACAUCGCUGUGGCUUCUGCCUCAGCACAGCCAGGCUCCCACCAGGGCCCCGUGCUGCCGCGUGUCCCCAGCCGCAGGGCACAGGGCCACCUGCCGCCUGCCACGCUCCUGCCUGCAGGUGCAGGGACGUCCGGAAGCAGGCGGCAAUCUGUAACACCAAGUUUUGUAAAUGCAGAUUAUUUCCCCAACGUCACCUAGCUCAUUUUUUUGGCUUUGCUGUUUCAUAGCUAAAAGAAUGGCUACUUUAGCUGUAAUCAGUGGGCAAUCAGCAGGGUUUUUAGUUUCCCCUGCUUCUCUCUGUAGGAAUUGUAAUUUCUAGAUAUUUCAACAAGUUUGCAACCUGAUGAUGGUGGAAAAACCCUUGUUUUGGCAUAACACUGGGCACUAGGCAUGUUGAAUGCAGAUGCGUGCAUGCUUUCUCUAUGCUUCAGAGUGAAAUACCCAUCUGCACAGUUUUCAGAAAUAGUGAAGUCUGCUGUCAUUCAGAAUACCCAUAGAUUUGUCAAAAUUUCAACUGCAAAUCAAGUUGUCAUAUAAACAUCCAAAGUCAGAAUACUUUUUAAUGUGACAAUUUCCAUUCUAGUUAAAAUUACACCAAAAAAAGGUAAAAACCAAUUAUUAUUCAAUUUUAAGGCUGCUCAGGAUCAUGACCCUGUCUUGUGCUUUGUAUGGUAAAUGCUGUAGCAGUUUUUAAAUCUGUAUGUUGCACAAUUAUAAAUUAAUACAAAGCAAUAAAGAGA